UACGUAGGGUGCAAGCGUUGUCCGGAAUUAUUGGGCGUAAAGAGCUUGUAGGCGGUUUGUCGCGUCUGCUGUGAAAUUUCGGGGCUCAACCCCGAACUUGCAGUGGGUACGGGCAGACUAGAGUGUGGUAGGGGAGACUGGAAUUCCUGGUGUAGCGGUGAAAUGCGCAGAUAUCAGGAGGAACACCGAUGGCGAAGGCAGGUCUCUGGGCCAUAACUGACGCUGAGGCACGAAGGCCAGGGGGAGCAAAACGGG
rnacentral:rRNA from 1 species